UAAGCGCUGCAACAGACGUCCCUUACAGGACACGCGUCAUAACGCGACGUCUCUCUUUCUCUCUCGAAAUCAGUCGGUUUGAUUCCGAAACUUCUCCGUGAAAACUUGCACCACUGGAAUCGCCGCCGUCUCAGUCGCUUCACCACGUCCUCAUCAAUCGUCGCCAUCAAUCGUUCGUCUUACUCUUAUUGAAAGCGUUGCUAGAUGGCGUUUUUGCUAAACAACACCUCAAUUGCAUCUCACCUCCGAUCUUCUUCCCAGGGAUCUUUUAAGGAGGAGACAAGAUGAGAUUGGUCAAGUGUUGGUUCUGCUCUUCUACGAUAUAUCGAAGCGAGGAUUGUGGUGGCGCGGUGGUUGAUUGGUUGCUGGAGACGGUGGCUAUCCCCCGGUGAUCGAUGGGUGUGGUUAUCGAGAGCUUUGUCUGGGAGCCAACCUCAAGCGUCUUUGUCUUCUUCCUCCUCUCCACAUUUCGCUUCCGAGUCAUCUUUAAACCUUUGGAUGCGUUGAUGUCAAAUUAAGCUUACUAAUUGCUACUGACUCUGACUUUUGAUGAUGAUACAGAAGGUAGCUUCAUGGUGGAGCGUGCUGUACAGACCGCAGAAGCUUGUGUGGAAUCAAACUAACCUUUCCUUGAGGAUCCUGCAACAUCUCUGUCUCCGUUCUCUACGGCUUUCUACUUGGUGAUUGUUAGUCCCAUCUUAUAUGAUUUCUACAACUAUGGACCUGAGGACCGCCAACUCUCUCUUCUAUUGACCGAGUUCUUGCAGAGUGUUGCUUUUCUCGGGGCACUGCUAUUCUUUAUCGGAAUGAAGAACUCUACGAUGACCUCCUCCAAGCAGAACCAAAGAAGCCAAGCAUAGCUGAGGAGCCUACAACACAU